CUCUGUGACUUCCUUUUUGGCUGCCAGUGGAAGAGAUGAAGCCCUGUCCGAUCAAUGCACGCAAGAUUGUGUCAAAUAAAAGAGAUGAGAUGGGUUUUGAGUUGAAGAGACUUGUAGUAUGACAUCUCCCCGACCUGCCGCUCGUCAAAAUUCCUUAGGGAGGUGACCAUUCUACAUUGAUCCAGUGCCUUUUUAUGGGAUCCGAAACUUUGACUGUGAGAUGUAUGAGAGUUUGACUUCUAGGCGGGCAAUUCUACUUUCACUUUAAACGGAUGGCAGUAACCUGAGACACCUGAGUGUAUCUCGACCCAUUUCCAGGCUAGCAUCGGAUGUUAUGAUGGACCUUUAAAAUCUUUCACAUGUGUACUUUCAAGAACCAUAUACAUUAUUUUUGAAAAUUGGUUGCCAUGGUAAUAAAAUCUGAAAAUUAAAACAUGGGCUUCUGAA